AUGAUUGCUGAAUUUGAUCCUGUUAUGCAAGAACACAUCCGGUGUAUUCAAAAUAGUGAAAUCCAUCAUCACUAUCUUGGCCACACAAUCCCGAACGAGUUGAUCUCAGUCCUUGCUGAUGCCGUGAGAAAUGUAAUUUUAAAGAUCAUCAAAGAUGCCAAGUAUUUUUCAGUUAUUCUGGAUUGUACCCCGGAUGUGAGCCAUGAAGAACAAAUGACUCUCAUUGUGCGUUGUGUCAAUAUGUCAAGCAACCUUCCGAGAGUGGAGGAGUUUUUCCUAGAGUUCCUAAAGGUUGAGGACACAUCGGGGUUGGGGCUUUUGAAGGUAUUGAUGGAUACAUUGAGUUCUUUUGAUUUGAAUGCUGCUGAUGUGAGAGGUCAAGGUUAUGAAAAUGGUUCCAACAUGAAAGGACAAUACCAAGGUGUCCAGAGUCGCUUCCUUAAAGAAAACCCCAAAGCAUUGUAUAUGCCAUGUGCAUGUCAUAGUUUGAAUCUCACUCUUUGUGAUAUGGCAAAAUCUUGCAAACAGGCUAUUACAUUCUUUGGUAUUAUACAACAGAUAUACGUGUUGUUUUCACGUUCUACUAAAAGGUGGAAGACUUUACUUGACAAUCUUCCAAAAGGAACAAAACUAACUCUCAAGCCUUUGUCCAGUACUCGUUGGGAUAGUCGAUUAAGAGAGUGCAGCCUAUGA
rnacentral:rRNA from 1 species